GUUGUAUCACCGUACCCUCCCUCACCGCUCAAACUCUAAUUCCUAUGUGUUUUUCUCUUUCUUCCUCUCCUCUGCUCUUCCUCUCCUUCACAUACGACCAUCCGUCAGCGCUCCAUCACCACCGCUAUUCUUCUCUCAAUCAUUUUCAGCAUAGCAGAACGACUUGGUCUGGAAUGAGCUUCUAUCAAUCAUUUUCUUCUCAAAUUUAGGGAAGAGAGAAUAACAGCUGCUGCAGGAUUUCAGUGAGAUCGAUGAAUUUAGGGAACUGGUUGAAGAUGAGUAAGAGAUGGUGGUUGGUUCGAAGGUCUGUUAGAUGGGUUUGAUGGACGAAGAAAUUGAAGCAGAGAAGUUAGGGUUUCAAGGAAUACAGAGAUGGGUUUGUGUUUAUGUUCAAGCUGAGGGGAAAUCAAGGGAUAAUCUCAACGUGAUAAAUUUUCCAAACCCCAAACAUAAAACAACUGCAACUACAACAAACAAUUAUUUAACCCCGAUCUGAAAUCAGACGGAAAAAGGAUACUCCUACAUUUUUUAAUUAGGGAAAAUCAAGUGGAGUCUUUCUUUAAAUUUGUGUUGUAAAUCAUCGAAAUUUGGUUAUUAAAUUUUGAUUUGGUUGUGUAAUCAUGUCGAGAAAGAUGCUAAUCGAUGGAGAAGUGAACAUCUCUAACGAACAUGAAUAUGACUAUGAUCUGUUUGUGAUUGGUGCUGGUAGUGGUGGUGUUCUUGCUUCUAGAACUUCAGCUGCUUAGGGAGCUAAGGUGAGUGAUUUCAACUCUAAGCUGUUGUGUGAAUUAAUAAGAUUGUUGGAUAAUUGGUUGCAGUCUGAAUUGUAUAGUAGUAUUUCUUCUUAUUCAAGCCGGAUGUUGUUGCUCUCUAUAUGCUUGUGAAAAUUUCAUUGAAAUUAUCUACAGGAUUUCUCUAUUUUUAGGAGUGAAUUGUACUCUGGAUAGUGGUGUUGCUUGUGUGAGAUUAUGUUUUGGUUUUCCUCACUCUGUUGUUGUUGUUUUUACGGAAAAUGAGAGAUCAGAGGGGAUAAAAUUGAGAGAUGGAAUCAAAAAUGGUUGUCAAAUUGAUUCUACAACAACAAUUAAAAGCUGGGUUUGGAUUGGAUUUGAGAGUAUUGUGAUAGAGACUCAAUGGUGCUAAUGGUGGUUGAUGUUGCAGCUUUGAAUGAAGAUUUCUGGUGGAUGAUUGCAGGUGGAAAUAGGAGCUUGUGUUGCUGUGUUGUUUUUGGUAGUAUUGACAAAGUCUGGUUUGAAUUAAGAGAUGUUGGAGUUGUGUUCUGUUCUUAAAGGAGUUGCUGCCAUGGUCACAAUUGCUAGGUGGUCAUUGAACUGAUGCUGCAACAGAUGGCUAGAUGGCUGCCGUUUUGGUGUUAAUAUAGUGAAAAGCUGAUUGAGGCUUAGCUGGAUUUUGGCAGUUAAGUUGCAGAUAGAGCUGGCAUAGCAGGUAGUUUUGGAGACUGUAAGUGGUGCUGCAGGCUAGAUAAGGAACUAAACUGAAUUAUGUCAGUCAUUAUGAUGGGAAGAAGUAGAGGGGGAUUGUCACAAAGAUCUAGUGGGCGAGUUGAUCCUUUGCAGAAUUUUGUGUCAGAGAGAAGUCCAAUUGCAAGACAGAAGCCACCAACAAAUGGUAAUGAAAUAUAUAUACGUCUGUUUGGGUCAAUAAGCAUAAAAACCCCAUGUUUGACGCAAAUUGAGCCAAGUAAAUAUGGAAAGAGUUGCGCUAGGGACCAUUAGACGCUUGAACUCGAUGAUGAGUUUGCUGGCAUUGAAAAAGCAUAUGAGGACAGCCAAUAAGAGUUACGGGGAAAGUUUGAGUAAACAUUUCAGGGUGAAGUGUAAGCGUAAUCUCCAAAUUUCUUUAAAAAAUCCUCCUGAAGGCUGAAAACUUGGAAAACUGGGCCAACAUGUGUAAUUACUUGAGAGCACCGGAAUUUCAUGGCAAGAUCGAAGAGGGCUUGUUUUUUUCAUAGGUAAGAUCGAAGAGGGCCUGUUUUUUUCAUAGGAAAGAUCGAAGAAGGAAAGUGAUGCAAAAAAGAUACAAGAUCUAAACCACAAAAUGGUACUGAGAGCUUUUCAAGAAAGACAUUUGACAGGAGUAAGAGGUCUAGUGGUAUAGCUAUUGGUCCUUUGACAAUGUUCGAUGAGACCCACACGGAUAAGAAUCAGAAGCUUCCUCCAAUAUGCGCAGAAUGAAAGGAAGAUAUGAAGGAUGAAACAGAGUAAGUCCAAAUUCAUCAAGUUAAUGAAUGUGGCUUUAAAGAAUUUAGGUCAAGCUUCUCUGCCAAAGGAUGCACUAGAUCCAAAUGUGAAACAUAGGAUGGAGGUCGACAACUUGAAGAUGAGAAUGAUGCUUAUAUCGAGGACGAGGAAAGCGAGAGAUAUGGCGAAAAAUAAAAUAUGGUGGAUGGUCAGUAUUGGGAAUGAUAGGGAAUUGGAUGAGAAUAUAAUGAAGCUAAAGAGGAUGGGGAAUGAAUGGAAGUCUGACAGUACUUGUCUGGAGUCUUUUGCACAAUAUUUCUUAAUUACUCACACAUGUAUAUUAUGGAUAUGACCCGUAUGUUAAAUCUUCUUUUUUCUAUAUAUAUAAUAGCUAGUUCUGACUUCUAAGUUUA